rnacentral:misc_RNA from 1 species
UUUUAAUUGGAGGAGUAAACAAAUAUUAAUAUUGAAAUUUAGAAUUUUAAUUCUUUUCGUUUUCUUAUGAAGAUUUAUUAUUAUUUAUCCACUUCUAAUUUUUUUUGUGGUUAUCAUUUGAUUCCUUUCUAUCGUCGUUUUAACCGACUUUUCAACAGUCAGCGAUUUUCCUUCCACGCCAAAUUCACCUCUGUGUCUCUGAGCUUUUCGCUAUGGAUCUGGUUUUCCGAAAUUGCAUAAACGCAUCAUCUUUCUCCUCUGAGAAUCACAGAAAUGUACACCCACGUUCCAAGAUUUCACACUCAACGUCUCAAAGAAGGAACAGAUGGUCGCCGAUUCGAGUUUCGAGUCUCGCAGCGGCGUCCACAGCUGAAAAUUCCAGAAAUGGAACCGCCACAGCAACUAGGACCAAUAGGAGCAUAGCGUCUACCACUGAGAAUGACAACAAAGCUUCUUUACGGUUACUAGGCAAGUCUAGCGCCGCCCUGGAACAACUCGACAUCGAGCGCGGAGUCUGCGUGCCGUUUCGAAAGUGAGGAAUAAGGUAUUGGAAUCCAGAGCAUCUAUAGUGUCUCUAAUGUUACGUGGAGUGGAAAUAGUGUGGAAUUUGGGAUUGUACUGGUCUGCCUUGAUGUAUGAUUGCUUGGUAGGAAGGGAUAAAGAGGUUGUUCCAUAUCGUGCUCGUCAGCUGAGAAACCUCUUGUGCGAUUUAGGACCUUCUUUUAUCAAAGCUGGGCAGGUUCUCGCCAACAGACCUGAUAUCAUUAGAGAAGAUUACAUGAAUGAGCUCUGCAUUCUUCAAGAUGAUGUUCCUCCUUUCCCCAAUCAGGUUGCUUUCAAAAUUAUAGAAGAGGAAUUGGGCCAACCUCUGGAAGCUGUAUUCACCAAAAUUUCAUCACAAACAAUAGCAGCUGCAAGCUUGGGUCAAGUUUACCGAGCUACCUUACGAGAUACAGGCGAGGAUGUUGCAAUUAAGGUUGUGUGAUAUUAGUAGUAGGCAAGCUAUCCUGUGAAGGUUCUUUAAAAUUUUUUUUAAUGGUUUCUUUUCCAUGUGUUCUUCUGGUGUACAUUAGAUGAUGAGUAAAACAGACACUAACAACAUUUGUAUUGUGGAUGAUAAUACCUUGCUUCAAUGUCUGUAAGUGCUAGUAUUAUGACUGCCUUACUCUUUAUAAAUUUAAGGUGUGGCAUGAGGUGGGGGAGUAAAAAUUAUAAAAGGAUGCUGCACACAGUGGGCACUAAAUUAGUUGACAAACAUCUAGGUGUUAAUUGCUCCUGCAAGAUAUAUUAAGAUACUGCAAAUUUUUCUGUAUCAAUAAUAUCAAGUCAUUUUAUUUGCAGGUGCAAAGGCCUGAAAUAGAGCCUAUAAUCUGCCGGGAUCUUUUUCUGUUCAUAACUCUUGCUUCAUUCCUAAUUGGUAUCAGCUUACAGAAAUUGGGAUGCAAUUCUGAGCUGAUAGUUGAUGAAUUCAGUGAGAAACUUUUGGAGGAGCUUGAUUACCCCUUGGAAGCCCGAAAUACUGAAGAUUUCCUGGAAAACUUCAAAGACGAUCCUAUUGUUAAAAUUCCUCAGGUUUACAGAAAGCUUUCUGGUUCACAAGAUUUAGUAAUGGAGUGGAUAGAUGGUAUUUGGUGCACAGACCCACAGGCUAUCAAGGAAGCUGGCCUUGAUGUAAAUGGAUUUUUAACAGUUGGGGUGAGUGCUGCUUUGCGGCAAUUGCUAGAGUUUGGGUUAUUUCAUGGAGACCCACAUCCUGGGAAUAUUUUUGCUAUGUGAGAUGGACGUAUUGCAUAUGUGAACUUUGAGAAUGUUGCAGUACUUAGUCAGGUGACGUGUUUGUUUCCAAGACAUGCAGGAAGAAAGACACAUCCAUGUAAAAUAAGGCCUCAUUUCUCCUUAAAUUUUAAAGUUUAACAUAUACGGGAACUGAUGUUAAAGAGGAGAAUGACUCUUAAGCAUUGCUUAAUGUUAGUAUAGAAGGAAAUUAUUUUAACACAUCAAGUGGGAAACUGUAACUUCUAGUUAAUUUUACUUACAUUGAAGCAUUCAUUUUUACUGCCUUGCGUACUGACAUGAUUUCUAUAUUUCAGCAAAAUAAGCAAAUCCUGAUUGAUGCUAUUGUGCAUGCUGUAAGUGAGGCCUAUGCUGAGAUGGCAAAUGAUUUCACUAGGCUUGGCUUCUUGGCUAGUGGAACUGAUGUCUCUCCUAUCAUUCCAGCUUUGGAAGCAAUUUGGCAGAAUUCAGUUGGGAAAGGACUUUCUGAUUUCAAUUUCAGAAGUGUUACUAGUAAUUUUAUGGCCUGUAAUCCUUCUUUCAGCUUUUACUCUAGUUUGUUUGCUGACACAAUACAACAUAUCACUGGAUGAUUCCAUAAUCUUUGUCACAGAAUCAUUGGAUUCGACAUAGCUAAUUUGGGGUUUUAAAUAAUUAAAUGCUUGUCAUAAUGAGACUUUAAUUACACUAAUCAUGAGUUACUAUUCAGUAUAUACUCUGCAGGGAAAUUUAAGCAGUUGAUUUACAAUUAUCCUAUCCGUAUACCAGAGCAAUUUUCCCUUGUUAUCCGUUCUUUAUUGACUCAAGAGGGCAUCUGUUUCACCCAGAAGCCAGAUUUUUAAAUUUCUUAAGGUUGCCUACCCAUAUGUGGCAAAGCACCUACCAACGGACCCAAAUCCAGCUCUUCAUGAACGCCUGAUACAGCUUUUGUUUAAAGAUGGUGUUUUCCAGUGGAAACGGCUUGAAAGCCUUAUUGUUGUUGCAAAGGAGAAUGUAGCUAAGAUGAGCAGCAACCCUGCAUUGCAAGUAAAGAAUAUGCGAAAUUCAAGAAACUUGCAUGUGGAAAGGAAGCUAGAUCUGACAGACACUAUAAAAGAUGGAGCUCGCCUUUUCUUUACUGACGAAGGAAUUCGUAGACAGCUGCUUUUGGCGCUGACUGAAGAUUCAAAGCUUCACAUUGAAGAGCUUGUAGAUGUUUAUAGACUGGUUGAGGAUGAAUUAGAUAUACCUUCAGUAGCUGUUGAAGUUGUACGAGACUUUCCAAAUGUUAUCCGGGAUCUCAUGCUUUCAUGGUGUGACUCGGUCUUAUCUGACAGAUGAUUAAUGCUUGGUGUGGCAGCAUGUAUAAAAAUUUGCAAGUUUGAAUUAAACUAUACAGGCCAACGAAAGGCUUCUAAGUUCUACCUUUCUUCUUUUGCGGUGAGGAAUUUUUUUCAAGUUGUAAAUGCCAAGCGAAAAAACAUUAUUUGUUACGAGAGGAAAGAAGAUCUCCAUGCAAUGUGGUUUCCUUUAGACAAUACCUCAAAUCGUUUUUCACUUAUUCCUAGCCACCUUCUCCAUCUGACCUCUCAUCAUAUGCGCACAAUUGGCUAAAUAGUCUCAGCAAUAAAGUUUCAUUCAUGAAGAGUGGAGCCAAAAAAAACUUGCUUUGGAUAGAGAAAUAUAACACCUUCCACUGUGAUUCAAAGCUACUGCAUUUUAUAGAUUAAAAUUCUACAAUCUGUCUCAGUGAAUCGAUGAGUCCUUGAUCUUAGUCCUGUGUAAAGAUCAGUUGGCAUGUGGAGUCGUUAACUUAUUACUUCUCUGUUGGCAACAUCUUCUGGGUAGGAGGACAAACUGACUCAACUGAAUCUUGUAAUUGUUGGCCAUGUUGAUUCUGGAAAAUCAACACUUUCUGGUAGACUGCUGCAUCUUUUAGGACGAAUAACCCAAAAAGAAAUGCACAAAUAUGAAAAAGAAGCCAAGUUACAGGGAAAGGGGUCGUUUGCUUAUGCUUGGGCAUUGGAUGAGAGUCCUGAAGAAAGGGAAAGAGGAAUAACUAUGACAGUGGCCGUUGCUUAUUUUGAUUCCAAAAAAUAUCACGUCGUUGUGCUUGAUUCCCCAGGCCACAAAGAUUUUGUUCCAAACAUGAUAUCUGGGGCAACACAAGCUGAUGCUGCAAUUCUUGUUAUCGAUGCCUCUACUGGUGCUUUUGAAGCUGGUAUGGACAGCAAGAAGGGCCAAACGAGAGAGCAUGCACAACUCAUUAGAAGUUUUGGUGUUGAUCAAAUUAUAGUUGCAAUUAACAAAAUGGAUGCUGUGGACUACUCCGAGGAUCGGUUUAAAUUGGUUAGAGCACAACUUGGAACAUUUCUCCAUUCUUGUGGGUUUAAGGAUUCCCUAGUGUCAUGGAUUCCAUUAAGUGCCAUGAAAAAUCAAAAUUUAGUAUCAGCUCCUUCUGAUGUCCAUUUGUCAUCCUGGUAUAAGGGACCUUGUCUGUUGGAUGCAAUUGAUUCUUUUCAACCUCCUACAAGAGAUUUCUCAAAACCUCUGCUUAUGCCCAUAUGUGAUGUUAUUAAAUCACCUUCAUUGGGACAGGUGUCAGCCUGUGGUAAAUUAGAGGCUGGAGCUCUUCGGACCGGAACAAAAGUUUUGGUUAUGCCAUCAGCAGAUGUAGGGACUGUACGCUCCCUAGAGCGUGAUUCUCAGGCUUGUUCUGUUGCAAGGGCAGGAGAUAAUGUGGCAGUCAGUCUAUUGGGCAUUGAUGGGAAUCAUGUGAUGGCAGGUGGUGUUCUUUGUCACCCUGACUUCCCAGUUUCUGUUGCGAAACAUUUGGAGUUGAGGGUGCUGGUUUUAGAUUUUGCAACCCCAAUUUUGAUUGGCACUCAACUGGAAUUUCAUGUACACCAUGCAAAAGAGGCUGCAAGGGUAGCAAGAAUUGUAUCAUUACUCGAUCCAAAGACUGGCAAGGUGACAAAGAAGGCACCUCGCUGUCUUACUUCAAAGCAACAAGCAGUGAUUGAGGUUGUUUUGCAUGGGCCAGUUUGUGUGCAAGAGUUCUCAAGUUGCAAAGCUCUUGGAAGGGCAUCUCUGAGGGUAUCAGGUAGAACGAUUGCUUUAGGUGUUGUAACCAAGAUAAUUGAGGAUCAGGAGGAGCAGCUGCUAUUACUUUAGAGAGAUUCCUUAAUGGUUGCCACAGGUGACAACCUCGAAAUUGAAAGUCGCAAAAAAAUGCUAAAAGUGGAGUUAAAUCUGGUGCAACAGUAACAGUUCAUUUUUGAGUUAUAUAUUUAACUGUAUUACUUUGAUGUCAAUAUGCCUGUACAAUGGAAUUAGUAGUGCCCAUGUAUUGAUUUUUUCUAUGCUGUGUCAGCAGAGGUAUACUAUAUUAUGUUUGCUACACCGUAAUGUAACAUCCAAUAUAAAAUUUAAUUGCAUUACAUUGCAUUAUGAACCAUGAAUUGAUGAU